CAUUAUGAGGAACAACAUUUUCCACAGGCCUAUUUCCAAGAUGGUGCUACAGGUAUUAGGUCUGUGGAAUAUGCUGAUUAAUAAUGGUGUUGUAAAGCCUGAUGAUACUUGUGGCUUUUCUACUUUAAUGCCUUUUAAGAUGCUGCUGACAACAGAUAAUUAACUUUGUUGUGGACAGGAAAUUCAGAUUGGAUGGGGCUUUACCAAAAGCCCAUGUUUUGCCCACUACCACUAGUGAAGUGCACACCUCCCACUCUCUCUUCUCAAAUGCAUAUUGAAUCAAAGCUAAAAUGCGAUCUCUUCCAGGAAGUUUUUUUGUUUUGUUUUGUUUCUUGAGACAGGGUCUCACUCUGUUGCCCAGGCUAGAGUGCAGUGGCACAAUCUUGGUUCACUGCAGUCUCUAUCUCCCAGGCUUAAGUGAUCCUCCUGUCUCAGCCUCCAGAGUAGCUGGGACUAUGGGCACCCACCACCAUACCCAGGUAUUUUUUUUUUUUCAUUCUUUGCAGAGAUUGGGUUUCACCAUGUUUCCCAUGCUGGUCUCUAACUCUUGGGCUCAAGCGAUCUACCUACCUUGGCUUGUCAAAGUGCUGAGAUGACAGACAUAAGCCACAGCACCCAGCCUCCUGCAGGCAGCUUUCUAACUAGCUCAACAAUCUGCUAUCUUAUCAAUCAAAUUUUCUCUCUGCUUUGUUAUCCCCAUCAGCAUUUGAACAUACUGUAAUAUUCCCUUAGUUUCUGUGUCUCCUACUUGUUCUCUGCUGUUAAUCUGUUCUCAUUUAAAGUAGAACUCCAUGAAUGGUUUGUCUAUACUAGCUGCUUCAAUUCUCUCAUCUAUCAUUCUUGUCUUGGUUCACUGUACUCAGGCUCUUAAUCCCUCCUCAUUACUAUCAAAGCUAUCUAUGACCUCCAAUCUGUGCCAUCAGUUUGGUUCUUGUUUUGGUUUCUGUUUUUUUCUUGCUAUACCUGUGUAGCAGGACAAGCUGCAGAUAAAACCCCUCAAACACUGAGUUAAAGAAGGAAGGUCUUUAUUUGGCCGGGAGCUUCUGCAAGACUCAUGUCUCCAACAACUGAGCUCCCAGAGUGAGCAAUUCCUGUCCCUUUUAAAGGCUCACAACUCUAAUGGGGUCCGCUUAAGAGGGUCAUGAUCGAUUGAGCAAGCAGGGGUAUUGACUGGGGGCUGCAUACACAGGUAAUUAGAAAGGAACUGAACAGGACAGGGAUCUUCACAGUGCCUUUUUAUGCAAAUAACUGAUUAGGUCAGGGGUCGAUUUUUAACUACCAGGCCCAGGGUGUGGCUCCAGGCUGUCUGCUUGUGGAUUUCAUUUCUGCCUUUUAGUUUUUACUUCUUCUUUCUUUGGAGGCAGAAAUUGGGCAUAAGACAAUAUGAGGGGUAGUCUCCUCCAUUACCUGUCUAUGCCAUUGGACGUAGUUGGAAAAUCCACAAUAUAUAAUGAGUAUUAACAUGAAUGCUGUUCACACAUCUAAUAGUAGCUACUAUCACAGGGUUGAUAAUCAAAUGAGUCAACAAAUGGAAAAAUAUUUGUAGAAAAAUUAAUCAGUAUGCACAUUUAUUGAGAGUGCUAUAGAAAACCCAGUUCACUACAUUAUUUUUAAAACUAGCAGAGCCGAAGAAACAUAGAUGACCACAUGCUAUCCCUUAAUCUUUACAAUUUCUAAUUUGUGGCAUGAAAUUUUGUUUUCUGUAUUUACAAAGGAGCCCUAAUUUUAUAAAAUCUAUUAUUGUUUCUUUUCAUUACUCCCUUUCUGGAAAGUAGGACUAUUAUGAAAAUAAUAGAAGAUAUAAAGAUGCAAACAGAUGCAGUCUGAUUCUCGGUUUCUGUUAAAUACACAGCUAAAAUGUUAUGUUCAGGUCUCUUUCCUAUUACCAUGGCCCCAGCAUUAGACCUUUCAACUCCUACAAUUUGAAAAAUAAGAGAGAAGGUUCCAAUUGAAAGGGCAUUCAACAACCACAAAAAACAAUUGAAGGUCAUUAUUUUGUAGAUAUAGAGGCAGUUUCCCAUAGCAAACUGCUAGUGAAUUGGAACUAUGACUCAUGGAUCUCGUCACUUGAGCCUGUUCUUCCUUUCCCAUCUAGGUUGCCCUCCAAAGUGCCUAGAUUUCAGAGGAUUUGGGGUGUGAUAAGUUACUGUGGCAGUACUGUCCAUAUAAAUAAUUUUUUAAAGUGGAUUCUGGACUAGAAUCUUAUGCUCUUCCUAAAGUAACUUUGUUGCUCAAAUCAAAGUGAUCAUUCCUUAUACUAAAUUAUUUGUAAGAAGAUCAAAUACAUAUGUUUGGAUGUUUU
rnacentral:lncRNA from 10 species